rnacentral:lncRNA from 1 species
AAUUAUAUGUGUACUAAGCAUCAUGUGUGCAGUAAGAUAGUAAAUGGGAAAAGCAGAACAUAUGUGAAGCCAGGACUUAUCUAGGGUCAAUUCAAUGGGAGCCUAUCUCAGGCUUCCUUCAGUAUCUUUAACUAUACAUUAAGCAAGGUAGAGAGUUAGCAAGUAUUUAAAGGAAAAAGAUCUACAUGGAAGAAUACGAAGAGAAUAUGUCGGUUACGAGGCUCUUUUAUAAGUGCCACUCACAUUUUCCAGGCAACUUCCCCAUGUCAGCCACUGUGUGAAUGAACCCUUUUCUUGUGAUUUCCUUUAUCAGCUUCCAUAGGAUAGCAGGAGACAGGGUUUCCAUCAGACUUCGAGUAGCCCACAUGAGUUGAAGUCUUUACUUUCUGACUUACUAGAGCUGAAGCAGCUGGCUCACAGUCACCCUUAACUACUGAACAGCAAGAGCUACAGUCAACUCUAACAACAAAACACUUCUUUCCUUUAAAUAAACAUGCUAAAAGGUGAAAUCCCUUACUCACUUUAAAAAAAUGGAAAGGUCUUUCCCUCAUUUCAUUCAAGAACCUUUGUCCCCUUGUCAUGUGGCAUUGUUUGUUUGUUUGUUUGUUUGUUUGUUUUGGACUAGAUGGCCACUUUAACUAGGCCAUCAGUGGUACAAGUGUUAAAGAUUGAGAAAACCUAUAUUGACUGCCAAGAAUUCAUUUCAAUUUUGUCCCAUGAAUACUUCAAAUAUCUGCCAGGUAAUGUCGUUCCCUCUUCACGGGACAGAAUCAAGUUGCAUUUUCAUUUCUAUUCUACAAGCUCUGGCUGGAGAGAAGCAUUUGAAGCUGCUCCAGGCACCUGAAGACUCCAGUCAAGCUCUUUCAUCCCUCAUCUCAGCCAACACCUGCGAACACGCAAAAUUGACUGUUUCUUCGCAAAACAGUCAAUGACAGAUGAAAUAGGGAUUUGAGUAGACUCCCAAAACAAACUAGAAGCCAAUUUAAUACAAUCCUCUCAAAACAAGCUGUUAUUCAUUGGAUUCUACAUAAAAUGCAGUCAUGUCAAGAUGUAUUAAGAAUAUAAGAAAAAAAGGAACUGGAAAGGAAGCAGGCUGUUUCCUGUAUUAACCAAUAAAUCAGACUGUGACACUGCCAUUAUUAUUGAGUGCUUAUUACCUGCUUGGCACUCUUCUGUAUCCUUCCCAUGGCAAUAUCAUUUGAGCUUAACAACACUCUUAUAUCAUAGCAAAUGCAAUCUUCACACGAGUAAUGAGAGAACUAAUAUAUACUCAUCAUGGAAAACAUGGACUAAGAAAGACAACAACAAUGAUGGAUGCUAAAGAAGUUUGACACACCAAAUCUCUGCUUCAGAAGAUUUCCAUUAACGGGAAUUUAAUGAGUUCACACACCGUGAUAGGCAUUUUGUGUCUUAUCUAGUCAGUCCUACCUAAAAAUGGUAUUUGUUUUUAAAGAUUCACCACUGAUGGCAAUAAUGUGCCUUGCAAACCAUAAGAUAAAUGGAAAGAUCAUGUGAUGAAUAUAGUAGCUACUGACAUCAUCAGUCUCUCUCUCUCUUCCCUCUCUCCCACUUUUCUCUCCCUUCUCCCCAUCUCUCUCUACCUCUCUCCUCUCUCUUCCCUCUCUCUCACCUUUCCUCUUCUCUGUCUCUUUUUUCUCUCUCCCCUCAUCUCUCUCUUGACAUACACAAACACAGAGGGGAGAUUAAAAUUAUUUAUAAAUUCAUAGAUACUGAUUUUAGUAUAGGAAAAUGAUUGAUAAUUGUAUAAACAGUACAAUCAAAGAACCUAAAGUUUUCUCAUGGAAACGAAUGCAAGGAGGUGCACUGCACUGGUAAUUGAUAUUGAGGCUGUGGAAGACAAUUUCUGCAGAUGUCUGAAGCAGUCACAUGUGUGCAACUUUUAUGGAUUUAUCUUCAGCUUGGUUCAUCUAGGUGGGCCUAACAUGUCCAAGUGUUUCCUGUGACACAAAAUCUUGUGUGCAAAAUGAUGUAAUGCUUCUAAUGUGUCAAGGUGCUUCUAAUGUCCCCAUCACUCUGUGAUAAAUUUGCAUUUUCUUUUCUCUUCUUCUUUAAAUGUUUUGACCAUUAUAGUACCUGGAAUUUUCUUUCAUUUUAUUAAAAUCAUAUGUUUAUAUAGAAUAUUUCGCUCAAAUUUGCAUAAUGUGUAAUGCCCACUUUCUUCCCUCCAAUUCCUUCCUUUUGCCCAUACAACAAUACUUUUUUCCUAUUUUGUGAGUUAUUUUUUAAGCUUGUGGAGCCCACAUAGUAUUGAUGUAGCUAUAGAGUCGUCUUCUCGAGCAUUGGCAGGCUCUCAGUGGCUGCAUCUCUGAAGAAAACUGUCCCUUUCUCCCAGCAGUCAUCCAUUGACAAUCAGAUACAAUGAAAUUUCACAACCAUCUCCCUCAUCCAUACAGCCAUUUCAUUUGGCUUGUGCUGGUCAUAUGCAUGAAGUCACAAUGCCUAGGCACUCACAUAUUCAAUUGCCUUGAAUUUGUAAGCAUUGGGGCACACUGAUGGCACCAUUCUAAAUAAACAGGAGAGUACAACCAGAACAGUAUAUGAGCAAAGGAAAUUCACUUGACUAUGAAGAUGGGGAAAUUUGUAUGUAGAAGGGACAACAUUGAACAUCAGGUCAGAUGUAAGCAAGACCUCAAGUACAGGGCAGGAAGGCAGAUGCUAUUUCAAGAGGAAGCGUUAAGCAGAUACCAACACAAAGUGGGAACAGGGUUAUAGUGAAGCUCUACAUUAUCUUGUCAUGGAAUAUUUAUUUAUUUAUUUAUUUAUUUAUUUAUUUAUUUAUUUAUUUAUACACUCUAUGAUUAAUUGACAAAUAAAAUUACACAUGUUUGUUAUCUACGGCAUGUUUUGACAGGUCUGCAUUUUAGAAUGGCUAAAUUAUGUUAAUUAAAUUGUAUUACCUCACACAUCUCUUUUUUAUGG